rnacentral:rRNA from 1 species
GACGAACGCUGGCGGCGUGCUUAACACAUGCAAGUCGAACGGAAAGGCCCUGCUUUUGUGGGGUGCUCGAGUGGCGAACGUGUGAGUAACACGGGAGUAACCUGCCCUUGACUUUGGGAUAACUUCAGGAAACUGGGGCUAAUACCGGAUAGGAGCUCCUGCUGCAUGGUGGGGGUUGGAAAGUUUCGGCGGUUGGGGAUGGACUCGCGGCUUAUCAGCUUGUGGGUGGGGUAGUGGCUUACCAAGGCUUUGACGGGUAGCCGGCCUGAGAGGGUGACCGGCCACAUUGGGACUGAGAUACGGCCCAGACUCCUACGGGAGGCAGCGGUGGGGAAUAUUGCAGAAUGGGAGGAAGCCUGAUGCAGCAACGCCGCGUGCGGGAUGACGGCCUUCGGGUUGUAAACCGCUUUCGCCUGGGACGAAGCGUGAGUGACGGUAAUGGGUAAAGAAGCACCGGCUAACUACGUG